GAUGAACGCUGGCGGCGUGCCUAAUACAUGCAAGUCGAGCGAACAGACGAGAGUGCCUGCACUCUCUGACGUUAGCGGCGGACGGGUGAGUAACACGUGGGUAACCUACCUAUAAGACUGGGAUAACUUCGGGAAACCGGAGCUAAUACCGGAUAAUAUUUAGCUUCGCAUGACGCAAUAGUGAAAGACGGUUCUGCUGUCACUUAUAGAUGGACCCGCGGUGUAUUAGCUCGUUGGUGAGGUAACGGCUCACCAAGGCAACGAUACAUAGCCGACCUGAGAGCGUGAUCGGGCACACUGGGACUGAGACACGGCCCAGACUCCUACGGGAGGCAGCAGUAGGGAAUCUUCCGCAAUGGACGAAAGGCUGACCGAGCAAUGCCGCGUGAGUGCAGAAGGUUUUCGGCUCGUAAAACUAUGUUGUAAGGGAAGAACAAGUACGUUAGUAACUGAACGUACCUUGACGGUACCUUACCAGAAAGCCACGGCUAACUACGUG
rnacentral:rRNA from 1 species